rnacentral:lncRNA from 1 species
CGGUAUCAAACAAGUGGGUGCUAUCGGCAGAAGAUGCAUCUAGACCAGUAAGCAUAGCUACAUCGGCAAGAGUAGGAGAAACAGGGCCGUGGCCAAAGACAAAAGCAUUGAAGGUGUCUGACCAAAAGUGAGACGCAGCUAUCAACAGCGACUCGUUCCUGUGCAUAUCGGCAAUAGAUAGCCUGAUGCAUUGGGCUAGCUUCCUUUCACCCCACUGGACCUCAUUAGAAUUGCUGACCCUCAAGAACCAGUCUUUCCACCCUACGGUUGGGCUGGGCCAAGAGCGGAUGGCAUCUUUCCACAGAUCUAAAGAAAAAUUUUCGGCUCUAAAGGGAAUUCUGUUGGUUUCUGCAUUGAUAAGGUCGGUUGGAUCUGGAUCUCCUAGAGGGCCGAGACAUUGGAGGUGUGGUUGAUCGGUAGGGAUGACAAUUUUGUUAGACAGCUCCUAGUGGUUUUGGGAAUAAAAGAAAAAAAAAAGGGGAUUCAGUAAAAUGGAUUGCGGAUGAACAAAGAUGCGAAGAAAAAAUACAGGAGAUGGAAUAGAAAUCUGACCUCAGGGACGACAAAGUCAGUGGCCAUCUUGCUGCGGAGAGAGCGUUUGAGGACGCCGGAGUUGAUGAGGAGUGCUUGUCGGAGGUCUUGGGAGUUUCGAAUGGCGCCGCCGCUGGAAAAGUAAAGUUGGGGUGAUGGAAUAAUGUGAUGGGGAAGGAGUACCCGAGAAGGGACUAUUUAUAGGACAAGAUGGGCAAGGGCAAAUCUGACUUAUCUCUUUGCCGCAUCCGCGAAAUCCGAGGGUAAUCAGGUGGAUAUGGUAACUGUUCGCACGGUAAUCCAGGGAUUGUGCAGGUGAUUUGACAGGAAGCGGUCAUUAUCUGAAGAUAUUUUACUGUGCGAGA